CCUACGGGAGACAGCAGUGAGGAAUAUUGGUCAAUGGGCGCGAGCCUGAACCAGCCAAGUAGCGUGAAGGAUGACUGCCCUACGGGUUGUACACUUCUUUUAUAAAGGAAUAAAGUGAGGCCCGUGUGCCUUUUUGUAUGUACUUUAUGAAUAAGGAUCGGCAAACUCCGUGCCAGCAGCCGCGGUAAUACGGUGGAUCCGAGCGUUAUCCGGAUUUAUUGGGUUUAAAGGGAGCGUAGCUUGGUUGUUCAGUCAGUUGGGAAAUUUUGCGGCUCAACCGUAAAAUUGCAAUUGAUACUGGCAGUCUUGAGUACAGUUGAGGUAGGCGGAAUUCGUGGUGUAGCGGUGAAAUGCUUAGAUAUCACGAAGAACUCCGAUUGCGAAGGCAGCUUACUAACCUACCACUGACAUCGAUGCUCGAAAGUGUGGGUAUCAAACAGGAUUAGAGACCCGUGUAGUC
rnacentral:rRNA from 1 species